rnacentral:misc_RNA from 1 species
GAAAUGCGAUAAGUAAUAUGAAUUGCAGAAUUCAGUGAAUCAUCGAAUCUUUGAACGCACAUUGCGCCCGCCAGUAUUCUGGCGGGCAUGCCUGUCCGAGCGUCAUUUCAACCAUCAAGCCCCCGGGCUUGUGUUGGGGACCUGCGGCUGCCCGCAGGCCCUGAAAACCAGUGGCGGGCUCGCUGUCACACCGAGCGUAGUAGCAAUCACCUCGCUCAGGGCGUGCUGCGGGUUCCGGCCGUUAAACAGCCUUACAAAACCCAAGGUUGACCUCGGAUCAGGUAGGAAGACCCGCUGAACUUAAGC